CCUACGGGAGGCAGCAGUGGGGAAUAUUGGGCAAUGGGCGCAAGCCUGACCCAGCAACGCCGCGUGAGGGAAGAAGGCUUUCGGGUUGUAAACUUCUUUUCUCAGGGAAGAAGCAAGUGACGGUACCUGAGGAAUAAGCCACGGCUAACUACGUGCCAGCAGCCGCGGUAAUACGUAGGUGGCAAGCGUUAUCCGGAUUUACUGGGUGUAAAGGGCGUGUAGGCGGGGACGCAAGUCAGAUGUGAAAACGACGGGGUCAAACUGUGGCCUGCCUUUGAAACUGUGUUUCUUGAGUACUGGAGAGGAAGACGGAAUUCCUAGUGUAGCGGUGAAAGGCGUAGAGAUGAGGAGGAACACCAGUGGCGAAGGCGGUCCGCUGGACAGCAACUGACGCUGAGGCGCGAAAGCGUGGGGAGCAAACAGGAUUAGAUACCCCAGUAGUC
rnacentral:rRNA from 1 species